rnacentral:rRNA from 1 species
UACGAAGGGGGCUAGCGUUGCUCGGAAUCACUGGGCGUAAAGCGCACGUAGGCGGCUUUCUAAGUCAGGGGUGAAAUCCUGGAGCUCAACUCCAGAACUGCCUUUGAUACUGGAGAGCUUGAGUCCGGAAGAGGUGAGUGGAACUCCGAGUGUAGAGGUGAAAUUGUAGAUAUUCGGAAGAACACCAGUGGCGAAGGCGGC